AACUCGAGUUGUUUGGGAAUGCAGCUCAAAAUGGGUGGUAAAUGCCAUCUAAGGCUAAAUAUUGGGGAGAGACCGAUAGCGAACAAGUACAGUGAUGGAAAGAUGAAAAGAACUUUGAAAAGAGAGUUAAACAGUACGUGAAAUUGCCAAAAGGGAAGGGUAGGAGGUCAGAGAUGCGGCCUGGGAUUCAGCCUUGCUUUUGCUUGGUGUUUUUCCCAGAUUGCAGGCCAACGUCGGUUUUGGGCACUGGAGAAGGGUAGGAGGAACGUGGCACCCCUCGGGGUGUGUUAUAGCCUCCUACUGGAUACAGCGACCGAGACCGAGGACAGCAGCGUACUCGCAAGAGCGGGCCUUCGGGCACCUUUACGCUUAGGGCGUUGGCAUAAUGGCCCUCUNCCACCCGUCUUG
rnacentral:rRNA from 1 species